UGAGUAGUAGUAGUUAUGUUCUUGAAACUUAAAAAAUUUGGCGGUAUUUUAGUCUAUUCAGAGGAACCUGUUCUGUAAUCGAUAAUCCACGAUGGACCUUUCUUGCUCUUGAUUUCAGUUUAUAUACCGUCGUUAUCAGAUGAUUUUAUAAGAAAAAUAAUUUUCUAGAAUUUUUAUUAGAAUGUAUAUCAGAUAAAGGUGUAGCUUAUGAGUAAGUAGAAAUGGGUUACAAUAAAUUUAUUUAUAUGGAUAUAGAUUUGAAACUUCUAUUGAAAGUGGAUUUGAUAGUAAAAUAAUAUAGAUUAAUUAUUUGAUUUUAGCUCUAAAAUAUGCACACAUCGCCCGUCGCUCUUAUUACUAAGAUAAGAUAAGUCGUAACAUAGUAGAUGUACCGGAAGGUGUAUCUAGAAUGACAACUUAAAGCUUAUAGAGAAAAGUAUUUCAUUUACACUGAAAAGAUUAUUGUGCAAAUCAUUAUAGGUUGAUCAAUAUUUAUUUAUUAAUUUUAUUAGUUUGAAGUUUAUUUUAUUAAAAAUAAUUAUAUUUUGAAUAGUUUUAGUAUUGUGUAACGAAAAAAUAAUAUUAAUUAUAGUUUAUUAGUAUUGUAUAAGAAUAUUGAAAUAAGUGAAAAA
rnacentral:rRNA from 1 species